rnacentral:lncRNA from 1 species
UACUAAUACAAUCUGUUUUUACUUUGCUGAGUCUGUUUUUUAUUUGUCGACCGUUUUUAUAAAUAAAUAUUCGAAACAUUAUAAAUAAAUACCCCAAAAACUAUAAAUAAAUAUCUAAAAAAAUCCCAAAAAUUAUAACUAAAUAUUCCUGAAAUUAUAAAUAAAACAAAACUAUUCUAAAUAUUCUAAAAAAAAUAUUCCAAACAUUGUAAAUAAAGAUAUCUUU